GCAACUAUAGUUCAGUGGUAGAACAGCCCACCACAUUCAUAUUGAAAGCAGGGCGGAUGUGGGUUCAAGUCCCUCUGUUGGCA